CCGACAGGCUGGAGGACAACUUGUCCAUCGUCGCGGGUCAUCACGGUACCGGAGAUAACGGCGCUGGUGAGGAUGAGGGUGCGGAUGGUGAAGGUGAUGGUGAGCGAGAAGAUGGAGAAGUGGAGGAGAGAGCACCAACUAAUGGACAUACGCUACAAUGCAGUGCAUUCCAGGCAUCCUUGUACAAAUUGGGGGUUUUGACUCAACUAAAUAGAAUAUAAAAUACAAUCAAGAUUG